rnacentral:lncRNA from 1 species
GGGAGAGAGAGGGCCACCCUAUCUCCCAUGCCACCCUGCCCACCGUCCCGUGAUGAGGGGCCAGUUAGUCACUGGAACAGUCGUGUUGGAGCAGACCAGGGCUGGCCCACACCAUCUGAGCCUCAAGGAGGGGCCGGGGCAAACCCUGGGGGUCACCGCAUGUGCUCGGACAGCUGCGAUGGGCAGAAAAUGAGCACAUUCAGCAGGACUCUGAAAUUCUAGCUCCAAGCUCAGAGCUGUCCACACCCUGCUCCCUGGAGUCUGUAAUAGGGAACACCUACGAGAAGCUCAGUGGAACAAAUAAUGUCACCAGUGGAUCGGGACCAGACACGCCCUGGCUGUCAGCAAGGUCAGGGACAACAAAGUAGCAGGUCCAGGUCCCAGAACGCGGACAGCAACAGUGGGUCUCCUACAGCUGGCACCUCGAACAGGGAGAGGGGACGCCUUCAGCUAUAUGAUCUGUUUCACAACAACAGGCUUGCCCGAGAGCUGACGUUGCUUUGGAAGUUCACAUGGCAGAGGAAUGACCUGCUCCCACCUGAGAGGAUCUGGCCGGCCACGGAUUCUUGCUCCUGAUCCACAUACUCCCUCGUGACCCUGGCAGAACUGUAAGUCAUUCUUGAGCCACAGGGCCUCAGGUGUCAGCAGCA